GCUAAUACCCGGAUAACAACACUAGACGCAUGUCUAGAGUUUAAAAGAUGGGUUCUGCUAUCACUCUUGGGAUGGGACCCUGCGGUGCAUUAGCUAGUUGGUAAGGUAACGGGCUUACCAAGGCAAUGAUGCAUAGCCCGAGUUGAGAGACUGAUCGGGCCACAUUGGGGACUGAGACACGGGCCCAAAACUCCUACGGGGAGGGCAGCAGUAGGGAAUCUUCCACAAUGGACGCAAGUCUGAUGGAGCAACGCCGCGUGAGUGAAGAAGGGUUUCGGCUCGUAAAGCUCUGUUGUAGUGAAGAAAGAUAGAGGUAGUAACUGGCCUUUAUUUGACGGUAAUUACUUAGAAGUCACGGCUAACUACGUGCCAGCAGCCGCGUAAU
rnacentral:rRNA from 1 species